GAAAUUCCCUUCGGGGCUUUUCUGCAAGGUGCUGCAUGGUUGUCGUCAGCUCGUGCCGUGAGGUGUCGGGUUAAGUCCCAUAACGAGCGCAACCCUUAUCGUUAGUUGCCAGCUGGUAAAGCAGGGGACUCUAGCGAAACUGCCACCGUAAGGUGAGAGGAAGGUGGGGAUGACGUCAAAUCAGCACGGCCCUUAUGUCCAGGGCUACACACGUGUUACAAUGGCCGGCAUAAAGGGAGGCAAACCGUGAGGUGGAGCAAAUCUCAAAAUCCGGCCCCAGUUCGGAUUGGAGGCUGCAAUUCGCCUCCAUGAAGUUGGAAUCGCUAGUAAUCGCGUGUCAGCUACAACGCGGUGAAUGUGUUCCUGAGCCUU
rnacentral:rRNA from 1 species